UACGUAGGGGGCGAGCGUUGUCCGGAAUCAUUGGGCGUAAAGAGCGUGUAGGCGGCUUGGAAAGUCUUACGUGAAAGCCUGCGGCUCAACCGCAGAAGUGCGUAGGAAACUUCCUCGCUAGAGUCCGGAAGAGGAGAGCGGAAUUCCUGGUGUAGCGGUGGAAUGCGCAGAUAUCAGGAGGAACACCCGUGGCGAAGGCGGCUCUCUGGGACGGUACUGACACUGAGACGCGAAAGCGUGGGGAGCGAACAGG
rnacentral:rRNA from 1 species